UGUUAGCUGUUGUGCUAUUGAGACGUUUUCCUCCGUAAAUUCAGCCAUUGGCGUUAUUAAUUUGCAUAUAGGGCGAUUACGUGGAUUGCUGACACGUUAUCCAGGGUGGUUUUGUGUUAUUUGUGAGCACCGAUUUGAGUUUUCGAGAGGUUUGGAGUCUGACUUUUGUAGUGAGAUUUAUGCUAGCGCGGGAUACGUUACGUGGCUUAAGUAGCCAACGCUAAUGCUAACUCUACUUUGUGUUUCACGGGCAGAGGUGCAUAAAGAACAAUCUGAAGACACUGAGUUUUUCCCCUUCUGUAGGCAAAGAAAUGCUGGACAACCCCCCUCUGGAUCAUGUCUUCCUCUACGCCCUCAUCCAUCCGUCACACUGGUACCAUGACCCUUUGGAGCGGUCUACGCUUCCAGUUGUCCAUAUACUCAGGUUUAUAAUACACUGUUGAUGAGGGUGCAGUGUUUCUGUUGACGCUGCCGUCACAAAAGAACUAUAACGCAAGACGCCUGGGUCACGAAGCAAGCUCAACUUACCCGGGGUUACUCCCAACCUAUCCAGCUGAACCUGUCCACAACAAUGACAAUCUGGAUAAGCGGUUUCACGACACUGGUUAUCAACUCGGUAACUCAACCCAGGUUUGUCUUGUUGUGAAUCGGUCAUGGUGCACGUAUUAGGGCGGGUUCCGAGGCAGCAGACCAAUCACAAUCAUUAGCACUGAUCCGCCAGCAAAAAGGAGCAAAGAUUGAUUCUCCUCAAAUAUGAAGAAAAAAGUUAAACACAGUGACUGCGCCGAAGAGACGCCAAAUGGCAUGGCAAAGGAUUGCACAAAUGCAUAAAUUACACAUCAAUGGCUCAAUUAGUUUCCGUUUAACGCAGCCAUGAAACCCAAUCACUAUGCUGCAUAGAUGAAUCGUGUGUCUGACAGACUCAUUCCCCCAGAUGUAAUCCCUCUAGAGUAAAAAGAACGUGGGACAAACCAAGCACAAAAAAAUUCAUCUGCGGAGUUGGAUUUCUUAAUUUCAUGAUUUUAUAUGGGCGACUUUACAGCUGGAAACUGAUGCCAGAGUUAGAUACAUCAAGUUGUUGGCCUUAAUGAAAUUAUCCUGAUCCUUAGCUGUGUUUGAGCUUAGUGGGGACAAAUGGCAAAAAUAUCCUCUUCUUUGUGUGGUUAUCUCCUGGAAGAUGCGUUCACGCCGUAACGCUCUUCUCGUGAUUUGGGCUCCAAUCUCAAUCUCAAAAGGGCACAUCAUUCUUUCCCGAACAGCUGAUUGGCCGGUGGGUGGAGCCUUUUAUCGGAUUCAGAUAAAUCCUGAAAGUUACCCUGACCUGAAGCAGGUUACCCAUUCAGAGUAAGUUACCAUGGUUAUGAAUCCAGCUUCGUGAUACGGGAAACCCAGGAUUAACCCUGAAGUUACUGAGCUAAGUCCAUAAUCCUGCCAUUACACAGGCCUCAGUUUUAGUCAUGGACCAACACAAACACACAGCCUUCAGUUGUAUUUGACUGGCAUUAACUAGUCACAGGAGCAAGCCAUUACAGUGUUUUGAUUUGCUGCUGCACCUGUGUAGUUUAGCAAAUUAAUGACGUCAGUGUUAGGGGCACAUUGGAGAACAACACUUUAACACUUUCUGAUACCCUGAGCUAGGUGGCGCUUUUGGAGUCAUUUUGUCUCCACAAACUUUCUCCAUUCGUUUGCACAAGUUCAUCGAUGUUUGUUGGCGGCAGAAAGAACAAUUUGAAGGAAAUGUAUGAGCUCAUGUCUUGUGCAGCCAAAUAAAUGCUGGAACACCACACCUUGAA